rnacentral:rRNA from 1 species
AGUGAACGCUGGCGGUAGGCCUAACACAUGCAAGUCGAACGGCAGCACAGAGGAGCUUGCUCCUUGGGUGGCGAGUGGCGGACGGGUGAGGAAUACAUCGGAAUCUACUCUGUCGUGGGGGAUAACGUAGGGAAACUUACGCUAAUACCGCAUACGACCUACGGGUGAAAGCAGGGGAUCUUCGGACCUUGCGCGAUUGAAUGAGCCGAUGUCGGAUUAGCUAGUUGGCGGGGUAAAGGCCCACCAAGGCGACGAUCCGUAGCCGGUCGGAGAGUAUGAUCAGCCACACUGGAACGGAGACACGGUCCAGAAUCCUACGGGAGGCAGCAGUGGGGAAUAUUGGACAAUGGGCGCAAGCCUGAUCCAGCCAUACCGCGUGGGUGAAGAAGGCCUUCGGGUUGUAAAGCCCUUUUGUUGGGAAAGAAAUCCAUCUGGUUAAUACCCGGGUGGGAUGACGGUACCCAAAGAAUAAGCACCGGCUAACUUCGUGCCAGCCGCCGCGGUAA